rnacentral:rRNA from 1 species
UGGGGAAUAUUGGACAAUGGGGGGAACCCUGAUCCAGCCAUGCCGCGUGUGUGAAGAAGGCCUUAUGGUUGUAAAGCACUUUAAGCGAGGAGGAGGGUACUGGUAUUAAUACUGCCAGGUACUGGACGUUACUCGCAGAAUAAGCACCGGCUAACUCUGUGCCAGCAGCCGCGGUAAUACAGAGGGUGCGAGCGUUAAUCGGAUUUACUGGGCGUAAAGCGUGCGUAGGCGGCUAAUUGAGUCGGAUGUGAAAUCCCCGAGCUUAACUUGGGAAUUGCAUUCGAUACUGGUUAGCUAGAGUGUGGGAGAGGAUGGUAGAAUUCCAGGUGUAGCGGUGAAAUGCGUAGAGAUCUGGAGGAAUACCGAUGGCGAAGGCAGCCAUCUGGCCUAACACUGACGCUGAGGUACGAAAGCAUGGGGAGCAAACAGG